UUCCAAAUCCAGCUUUUUAUACUAGUAUUCCAAAAGUAAUAUAAUUUCUUCAAAAGUAAUCUCUUAAAUACACAGGUCCAAUGAGAUUACACCCCAUUCAGAAAUUGUCAGUGGUUCCCUAAUGUCUAUAGAUAAAGGUCAUGUACCUAUUUGACAUUUGUGAGUAAAAAAAAAUUAAAGCUAUCUUCAAUCUACCUUUUUUCAGCCUUAUUUUACACCCUUCCUCUUUAGGCAUUAUUAUAUCCAGUUAAACUAGACAAUUACUUUCCUAUCUUGUGUUUCCCUCUCAUUUCUCUGAUAUUCCCAUAUUCUGUUUCCAAUUCCUGGAAUAAACUCUAUCCCCCUACCCCCCACCCUCCCAUUUCUGACAGUUGAAAGCCUCUUUCUUCAAGAUUCUGAUCAGAUGCCUCCUCUAUGAAGCCUUCCCUGAUGCCCCUAACUGAAAGUGAGCUCUCUCUCUCAAAUGUGUUUUCAGUACUUGGUUAUGUAUUUCCCUUUCCCUCAGCCAAGUUCUACCUGUGAUAUGAAUAAUAUGUGUGCAUGCUAUAUCUUCUCCUCCAUAAUUUUGAAGAAACUGAUGCAAACAUGGUAAAAUGAUUUGCCCAGGGUCACACAGCUAGUAAGUGUAUAAGACUGGAAUUGAACUUAGGAAGAUGACUCUUCUUGAUUCAAGAUCUAGCAUUCUAUCCACUCUGCUGCCUAAUUAUGCACACAUGAGAUCGAAGAAUCUGAAGACUUCUCCUGGUGGAAUGGCAUGAUGAGAACAAUUUGUACUGAUGGGCAGGAAGGUGGCUGAAACAGAUGCUUGGAGCUUUUAGAAUUUGGUCAGACAUCAAAGAUAUCUAAGUCUUCCAUUGUGUUCUAGGCCAUUGCCAGUCAUUCUGGCUUUCGUUUUGCACUGGACUUUGAUGAUUCUGGAAGAAAGAAGUGCAACCUUUUCAGAGAGUGGGAACAACAUAGCACAUUUGUACAGCGGGAGCUGAGCAAGGUGCCAUGAACUACAUCCAGUAAAUACUUCUGUUUUCCUGUCUAUCUGAAGAAGACAAUGAGGAUGACAUGAUGAUGACAACAUAUGCCUGUUGGCAACUAGUAUAUCUUGCCAGUGUAUCAGAUACAGAUGGUGAGGAAAGGAAUGGAAAUUAUUUGGAAUGAUUCAGUUCUUUGACAUGUAACAACAUAGAAGGAGCACCUGGAUCUUUAUGGAAAAGUGAAAGGGAAAUGGUUUCCAGGAAGAUAUGGCCCUAACUUGCUCCACCUGUACCAUCUGAGGUUGAUUCUGAGGCACCAUCUGCUUAGUCUGCCCAUGUGGGGCUUGGUGAAUAUCAGUGAUGAGAGUCAAAAUGGCAGCUCAGAUUUCAGUAUAAUUCAGAGGCCAGUAAUGAACAACAAAGCUCUUGGCUGCUUGAGAUCAAGGUAUGGGAUUUCUUUUCCUUUUAUGGACCACCUUUCCUUUGCAGACCAAUAUCACCAAUUGUGAAACGUAAAAAAGUAAGAACAUUAUUUAAAAUUUUUGUUAAUAAAAAUAGUUUUUGUCUGCAAUUCUCUACUCUUUUGAUCUAAUAGGACAAUUAACAAACCUCUUGGAUGGUGCCUAGAAAUGUCCUCUAAUUGUUUUUUAAUUAGACUUCCUUUCAAUUUAUAUUUUUAUAUAAAUGUUAAAUGAACUUAGUUCAUAGGGUUGCUCGUUCAGAAUAUUACAACAGCUGGAGACUUAUUAUAGUGGCUCCAUUCAAAGUAGCUAAUUUUACUAGGAGAGUGGAUGGGUAGCUGCCCGUCUUUGUACCUUGUUCAUAUGCGACUUCAAUUUGAUAUUUCUUGUCUUUGGGAACUUCUUCUAUAGUAUGGUGAAUAGUAUUUGAAUUUGGAGUCAGGAAUAUCUCCCCUCAGACAUUUACUAAUUGUGUGCCUCUGGGCAAGUUUCAAAAAGUCUUUCAACCUCAGUUCCUCAUAUAAAAUGAAACAGUUGGACUAAAUAAUGUCUAAGGUCUCUCCAGGAAGAAAUCAAUGAAUCUAUGGUUUCUGUCUUGCUAAAAUGGACUUAAAAAAAAAAAACAAAAACAAAAAAACCAACCUUGCCUUCCUCCUUUGAAUUGAUAUCAAGUAAAAGUUUCAAAAUACAAGAGUGGAAAGAGCUAGGCAUUUGGAGUUAGGUAACUUGCUCUGGGUCAUACAGGUAGGAAGUAUUUGAGGCCACAUUUGAACCCAGAUUUCUGGGCAUGACUCUAUCCACUGAGCUACUGAGCUGUUCCUAACAUAAAGCUUUUAAAGUUACAGUACCUGGAAGUUAAUUUUAAAAAAAAUGCAGAUUAUCUUGCUCCUUUCUAUUGAGUAUAUACUGCCCUGAGUCCCUAGAAGAAAGGUGCACACUACUGUCUACCCCCUCCAUUUCCCUAGCAUAGACUAGCAAUUUUAUUUUUCUAAUAAAUUUUAAUAUCUUUUUUAUAUUGCCAAAAAUUUCCCCAGUAUCCUUUUUCUCUUUCUCUUCCAGAGAGCCAUCCCAUAUAACAAAUAAUAUUUCAAAAGAAAGCCUGAGAAAAAAUAGAAAAACUAAUCAAUGAACCAAAAUAUCUGAAAAUACAUGCAAUGUAUCACAUUCAUGAGUGUUCUACCUCUACAAAGGGGGUGGGGUAGACGUAUUUCCUCAUAUUUUUUCUUUUUAAUUUUUUGCAACAUUCAGUUUUGUUUUGUGGUUGUUUUCUCUUUUUGGCUGCCCUCCAUGACUAGAACACUCUUCCUCCUCCUCUGCAACUAUUUACUGACUUCACUGGCUUCCCUUAAGUCCCAACUCAAAUCUUUCCUUAACCCCUCCUUAUUCUAGGACUUUCCCUCUUUUAAUUCUUUCCUAUUUAUCCUGUAUAUAUAUACAUACAUAUAUAACUUAUUUGCACAUGUUUCUUGGUAUGUUCUCUACAUUAGUUUAUGAACUCCUUGAGGGCUGGACUUUUUUUUUGUCUCUUUUUGUAUCCUCAGAACUUAGCAUAGUUCCUGGUACAAAGUAGGCUUGAUUUAUUGCAUUAUUAUAGGGGUGUAUACUUUUUUUAUAGGCUCUUUAUUCUGUCAGUUCAUGUAAAUCUUCCCAUGAUCCUCUGCAUUCAUUAUAUGUAUUUUUUCUUGCAGCACAGUAAUAUUUUAUGUUCAUGUUCCAUAAUUUCGUUAACUAUUCUCCAGUUAUCAAACACUAUUAAUUGACCUAAGGAUUUCCCUACUCAUUGAUCCUUUAAAAGAAAGAAACCAUAACAUUUUUCCUAAAGAUUCUUCUCAAAUACUGAAUAUAAAUAAUUAAUGACUCUAAUCCAUUGGUCUUCAAGAAAAUAGAAAUAUAUAUAUAUAUAUUUCCAUCCUUUCUUGGUUUCAAAACUAGCUAAUUUCUCAUCUCUAUCAAUAGAAGAGAUAAUUAUACAUCCUAGACUGAGGAAAAGGGAAGCAGAGAUAAUUUUCCUUGCUCUGAAUCUGUGUUGCUUUUUAAUUUGUCUCAGGAAGACUAGAGUUUCAUAAAUAAUUAACUCUCCCAAAGCUGAGUAACUGAUCAAAUUUAGUGGCUUCCUCCUGAAAGUUUAGAUGAUUUAGUUAAAGUAGGUUUUAUUUGUAAGUGCAGUGUUCUGUGGAGCAUUGGAGUUCUCUGAUAAUGGUCUUCAUGUUUACUUUUUAAAAAAGGAUUAUCAGAAUUUGGGACUAUGAGGGCCCCUAGAUGGCAUAGAAAAAGGAGCUCUGAUCUGGAGUUAAGGAGACCUAGGUUCAAAUUUGGUCUCAGAUAAGACUAGUUCUGUGACCUUGGGCAAGUUAUUAAUUUUUACAUGACUCAAUCUCCUUAUCUGGGAAAUGGAGAGAAUAAUAGUACCUAUCUCUCAGGGUUGUUGUGAGAAUCAAAUGAAUUAAUACUUGUAAAGCAUUUUGCAAAUUUAAAGUAUUAUAUAAAUGUUGGUUAUUUUAUUAUUAGAAAAUUUCAAUUCAAAUCUUGAUAUUGUGUUCUGAAUUAUAGUCUCUUGGGAUCCCAUCAAACUCUGACCCCUCUUACAGGAGCUGAUCAGUUAAUAGCUAUGUAUAUACGUUGAAAUUUAUAUAGCCAUUGAAAGAGAUAAUCACAAGACUAUUUUUUCUUUUGUUUUUUGAUCAAACAAACUUAAGAAUGGUCUCUCCUUUUAAGUUCUCUUUAGCAGAUUUGCAGACAGCAAAUGGGUUGAGGUACUUAUAAGUAAAUUGAGUGUGGGAACAGCUGGGUAGCUCAGUGGAUUGAGAGCCAGGUCUAGAGAUGGGGAGUCCUGGGUUCAAAUCUGGCCUCAGACACUUCCCAGCUGUGUGACCCUCGACAAGUCACUUAACCCUCAUUUCCUAGCCCUUACUGCUCUUCUGCCUUGGAAUCAAUACACAAUACUGAUUCCAAGAUGGAAGGUCAGAGUUAAAAAAAAAAUAAAACAAGAGUGGCCUCAUCAGUGAGAUAAUGAAUGCAUCAGAAUUGAUGAAGUAAGUUAUGUGACAAGUUCAAGAGUCAGUUUCUGGACUAAUAAAUCUUGUCAUUAAAUGUCAAACCAUAUUUGAACCAUCCCAUUAUGUGAAACAUAUUCUUCAGGGUCGAUGGAAUGGAAUUAGGAGAGAUGGGUUUGAACUCCAGUUAUUGUGUGAACAUAGGGGAGCCAUAUAAUUUCACCUCAAUUUCCUUAUAUAUAAAAUAGGAAUAAUUCUAUACAUCACAGAGUUGUUGGUCUGGCAGCCAUCAGACAAUAAACAUUCAUUAAGUGCUGUUGGGGAUACAGGGAAAAGGAAAAGAUAGUUCCUUUCCGCAAAGAGUUCACAAAUAAAAUUGGGGAGACAGCAUGCAAAUAACUGUACAAACAAGUCUUAUACAGGAAAAAUUAGAGGUAAUAAGCAGAGGAGACAAUAAACUAUAAUAUGGAAAAUGGGGAAACAAUUCCAAUAAAGGUGGGAUUUUAUCUGGUUCUUGAGGGAAGAAAAGGAAACCAGGAGGUGGACAUGAAUAAGGAGAACAUUCCAGUCAUGGAAGUUGGGGUUGUUCUAUCAAGCGAGACAAUGUAUAUAAAAUGUUUUUGAACCUUAAACUAUUACAUAAAUGUCAACUAUUAUUAUUAUUUAUUAAAUAGAGAUAGGAACAAGUAGGUGCUUUCAUCAACAUAAGGAAUUCCUAGAUGAAGGAUUUCCUUCAACAAAUGAAAGUCAACACCUUAGAGAGUUACCAAGAUCACUGAGAGUUAAGUGAUUUGAUUGCCCAAUAUAUGUCAGAGCAGAGGCUCAAACUCAUGGCUUGUUGGCUCUAAGGCCAGACUUCUAUCUUUUAUAUCUUUCUAUUAUGAUUUGUAAAAUGAACUAUUUUUAGAAUCAGAUAUUUUAGAUGUAGAUAUCUGAAAUGAACACUUUUAGAUAAAAAUAUGAAUGAAAUAUGAAGAAUUUAUUUUAACUUCCCACCCUGUAAGUUGGAAAGAAUUUUCUCUCUUUGAGAAGUCUGAUGGGGAUCAUGCAAAGAGAUUUUAUAAUAAAUUGUUCAGUUUGCUAUGAGGUGAGUAAAAAUCAACUGGGAGUCUCUCAGCUAUUAGAGCACAAAGUUCCCUUUUGAAAUAAAGGGUCUUUGGUAGGUUUGACCAGAAUAUGUGUUAGAGCUGCUGCCUGUAACAAACAACUCAAUAAUACCUUUAUCCCCUGAAACAUUUACAAAAAUCUAACUCAUACACAGAUCAGAGUUGUAGAGUUGAAUGCUGGAGUGUAUUCAUUCCUACUAUUUAGAACUAGAUGAUAUCAAAGGAGUUUUGAGGGCAACAGGCAAAUUUCUUUCUUUUGCUUGUGGUCAGAUACCCAUGUUAUUCUCUACUUAUUCUUCCAUUUAGCAUUUUCUUUGGCAUUUCUAUGAAUGCUAAGCUGACACAUUUCAUAUUAUUAUCUAAAUCUUAAAAUUGUCUUGCAAAAAUCCAAGAAGGUAUCUUAGAUUUUCCAAUUUUGACCAGAAACUGGAUUUUGCUCUAAAUGUCUAAAUAUUCUUAGUUUGUUAACUCUAAGGAAUGAUAACUGUUCACAGCAGGUACAGAAUUAGCCCAAAUAAAUAGUCUUAGCUUUUCUGUUGUCCAUCUCCUCCCCUGCCUUUUCCAUUCCAUUAAGAAUCAAGUCUCUAAAUUAUUAAUUAAAUGAAAAUUUCAAGUAAAAAAAAAGAAUCAAGCUUCUACUUUCUAUUUUAAUUGGAGUGCAUGGUAGUGAGGAGGAUCACAGCCUUACUGAUAAAGGGAACCAAGAAACAAGGGGAAAAUAUCCCACUUGUUUUCAGAUUGCUGAAUAGAUUUCCCGAGUCGUCUUUUUUUCUAGUUAGAUAUAUAUGGGUUCAGCUGGAAGUGGAAACAUCAGUGAUCAGUUUUUGGCUUGUUCCUAGACAGGCAGAAUGAGAGUCAAGCCCCAGACAUAUGUAUGCUAUUAGAGAUAUAAGGAGAUCUCUCAAGAGUCACAUGGAGCUUUAGAGGCAAGAGUUGUGGUUCUGGACUCAAAGUGCUCUCAGGAAAACCCUAGAGGGUGGGGAAAUGUAAAAUGCCACAGGUUUGUCAUUUUAUUAAAACAAACUACUGGUCAAUCUGCCAACAGAUCAUGGUGCAUUGGGGAAAAAUCAAUGUGAAAAAUUUUUUCUAAAGAGCUGUUUAUUGGACAUAAAGUCUUUAUAGUAAAGAGCCAUGAGGACACUGGAAGCCAGGAAAUUAAUUUUCUUCAUCUACUUGGUGUUUGAGAGAAGAGAAAAAGUUGAAAAACUCUCAGGGAUUUCAAAAAGCCUCCACGUAAACUUUAAAAUUAAACAGAUGUUAGAUGAUCAUCCUUAAAUCAGAGCUCUGGGAUCUCAGGAUCAUAAACUAUACAUAAUGUUCUGAAGCAAGAGAUGAAAUGGAUUUCCCCCACCCCAAUUAUUAGAAGUCUCAUAGAUAAAAAAUCAGGAUUAAGAUGAGUUCUUGGACCCCUGAAGGAAUUUGAAGAUGGCUAAAGGAGAAAUACCUCCCAAAAGUGGGUGAACUGCUACAAGGAGGAUUGGAGAUACCACCUUGGAGCCAAUGUCAUUAUGUGUGGCAGGAGGAAGAGAAAUUAGAACUUGAGAGGGAAGGUGGAGGAACCCCAAAUCAGCUCCAGGCAUUCCUGAUAAAGUUCAUACAUGGUAGGUACCAGUGAGACACUAAGUUACCUCCAUAACCAAACUUCCCAAAACUCUGAAAUCACCCAUCUCCGAUGGUAAAGAUGGGAGAAAGCAUAGGGACUUGGGUUUGUUAGGGAGAAGGUUAAACAGCAUGUACAUAUAAUACAAUGCUAGCUCAUUCGAAGUCAAGAGGUGGCAAGAAGGACAAAGGAGUAAAGCCUAGUUGGAGAUAUUAAGUUCCCAAGUAGAAUAACCAACAGAGAGAUUAUUAAAGAAGGAAGCAAACAUGAAGAGAAAAAGCAGGAAAGAUCCCAUAGGGUGAAGAAGUACCAUGUUGUGACAAAUUACUUGAAAACCCCAAUGAAAAAGAAAGCAAGACAGGUUCCUUCAUAAAUAAUGUAUGAACAGUAAGGAAUUCCAGAAUUGUUCAGAAGAGAAAUAGGAAAUGAAGAUGGAAAAUAUUAAGGGUAUCAGAAUUCUCAAAUAAGAAAUUAGUAAGACUAAUAAGAUAUUAAUGGAUUUGGAAUAAAUGACAGAGGAUCUUUCCAAGACAAUAGAUGCUCUGAAAAAGAUGGCAGACGUGAAACUAAAAAACAAUGAUUUAUAGGCAAAUUUGGCAAAAGAGUCAAAGAACAUCAGCAUUUGAAGAAUGGAUGAGGUCUUUACAAAUAACAAUUAACUUUGAGAAUGCUGAGAUGCUUUCAUAAACUGAUCUUUUGCUGGCUUUGGGUCCUCAAAAAAGUACAAUUAUGUCAAUAACUUAUGGCUAUCAUGUUCUUGUGACACAACAUCACAAUAUCCAGUGAAAUUGCCUCCAAGACUUGAACUUAAUUGUUAAGUUCACUCAAACCUUGGAGGUCUCUGGCCACUUUAGCUGCAUUCAUUAGGCUAGAGAAAAUGCCACUGUGCUAUCAGGGUAUGGCUCUGCUCAAGGGAUGAUUAUCCUCUGGCAUGAAGCAUAAGGGAAUAUUUUGUUAGGUGUAUCACAUCAAUGGCAAGGCUUGCCUCCAAAGCCCAAAUUUCUUGAUCAUUUUAAAGGUAUACAUGCCAAUAAAAGAGUAAAAUAACACAGAGCCUGUUGGCACAUUGGAUAAAGUAUACUUCCCUCAUAAAAAUGUUUUAGUCCAAAGCCAUGAAAUCACUGAAUAUUUCUUACCUUGUCUUGGAUUGUUGACCAACAUUAAUUAUAAAAUUGAGCCAGUUCCUGGAGGGGUUGGGAGGAGGGGAGAGAAAGAACAUGAAUCAUGGAACCAUGGAAAAAAUAUUCUAAGUUAAUGAGUUAAAUACAUUAACUUUAUUUAGAAAAAAAAAUUGAGCCAGUGUACAAUCACAGUCUACAGUGAUAAAAUCUUGUUGGUUACCUUUCGGUACUUUAGUGGCCAGUGAAUGAGAGGCUACAUGGAGUCAUGUCCAAACAAUAUAUAAAAUUUUACUCUCAUUUGCAAACUUUCCUUUCCUAGAGCCAUUUAUAAAUUGAGUAAGCUUUUCUACCUGCUAGUCUUCUUUUGAUAAAAACAUUUUAAAUUAUUUUAUUUAAUCUUCACAACAAUCCUGGGAUUUAGAUAUUAAUGUUACAAAAGAUUUUACAAAUGAAGAUACUGAAGCAAACAGAACUUAAGUGAUUUAUUCAGGGUCACUCAACCAGUAUCUGAUGCCAGGUUUUUCUGAUUCCAGAUCCAACACUGUAUUCUCUGGGCCAUCUAGCUGCCAGUUUUUUUAAAAUCUUGAUUUAUAAUCACUUAAUUAUCCAUCUGGGAAAGAUUCAUGCUCUUAGAUACUUGUAUUAAUUUAUCCCUUAGUUAUUUUUUUAAAUUUUAAACAUUAUUUUAUUUGGUCAUUACCAAACAUUAUUCACUGGAAACAAAGAUCAUUUUCUUUUCCUCCCCUCCACACCUCCCACCACCUUUCCCUCUCCCAUAGCCGACACACGAUUCCACUGGUUAUCACAUGUGUUCUUGACUCGAACCCAUUUCCCUGUUGUUGGUAUUUGCAUUAGAGUGUUCAUUUAGAGUCUCUCCUCAGUCAUAUCCCCUCAACCACUAUAGUCAAGCAGUUGCUUUUCAUCGGUGUUUUUACUCCCACAGUUUAUCCUCUGCUUGUGGAUAGUGUUUUUUAGAUCCCUGCAGAUUGUUCAGGGACAUUGCAUUGCCACUAAUGGAGAAGUCCAUCACCUUCAAUUGUACCACAAUGUAUCAGUCUCUGUGUACAAUGUUUUCCUGGUUCUGCUCCUCUCGCUCUGCAUCACUUCGUGGAGGUUGUUCCAGUCUCCAUGGAAUUCCUCUACUUUAUUAUUCCUUUUAGCACAAUAGUAUUACAUCACCAACAUAUACCACAAUUUGUUCAGCCAUUCCCCAAUUGAUGGGCAUCCCCUCUUUUUCCAAUUUUUGGCCACCACAAAGAGCGCAGCUAUGAAUAUUCUUGUACAAGUCUUUUUACUUAU